GUCCACACACAUCUCACAGCCCUCUGCCGGUUUUAGCAGCGUAGAUUUGUGCGUAAAUUUGCAUAAAGUAUCCAAAGAUGGCCGAUCUAUGGUCUCACCAUCUGAAACUGUGAUGGUUUUCACCUUUUCUGUGAUAUGCUGCUCAUGAUGGCCUCCACAGAGAGGAGAAAUGUCUGCAUGGCUGUCAGUGCUCCUCUUCAGUUUUAAUGAGUCAAGAAUAAGGAGGCGCCACUCAACAAUAAACCCCUAAAAUCCAGUCUCUAAGGUGAAUCUACAGGAAUGGAAGAAAACAGUGAGGCCCCCUCUGACCUCCAGAUGUCAUCUGUGGAGUUGACAGAGAGCAGAGAGACGAUCACACGGGAACUGGGGGACUCUGAUGAAGGACACACCCAUUCUUUAGAUGCUGCUUGGCCCACUUUUUCUCAGCAGUUCUCCACCCAUUCCCAAGAAACCGUAGUCACUCAUUUCCACCGCCUGUCUCAUGGCCAUACUGUGAUCUUUAUAAUGGUGGACAAGUUCAGGCAGGUCCCUUCACCCCUGUCUGUCUGACUUCUGUUAGCUCAGGAUGCAGCACAGCUGGUGAUCAGUAUGUUUUCAGGUGAGGGAGAGGAUGAGAGGAUCCAACUGGUGUUUUCUGCUCUCCAACAGAGUAUCUUCAGCACGGUUUUUCUGGAGAGAAACUAAAGUAGAUAUCCUCUAUCAGAUGAGUUGGCACACUGUCCAAAAUUAAAAGAAAAUAACUACAUACAGUGUACUUUGUAGGCAAAACAGCAGAUAAAGAAAUGGGAGUUGUGGCUUUCACAUCAGGGCUCAUCCUCUGGGACCAUCAACAUCAGCAGAAACGUUCAUGCAAAUUAAUCUCUUAAUGCAGACCAAAUUGGUCACCCAGUGAUCCUUGCGGCCCAAAACUGUAUUUCCUUGAAUGUCCACUACAGGCUGGCUCCAAAAGUGAGUUAAUCCCCAUAGACCCCUUUACAGCCUUUGUCCUAUAUCAUCAAAAAUAUGUUACCAGUAACCAUGCUAACUGGCAACAUGUCAGUGAUUGUCUUGAUUACAACAGCUGUUGAAACACUAAAUGAGUCCAUGCGAAUGAAUCCUGGUUUAUUCUUUAUUGUUAUAUAUAAAUAAACUGAUCAGGUAUGUAUUCAAUGAAAAAUUAAGGCAUUUGAGAGAGGCACAUUCAGCUGACAGUCACCAGUUAACAGGGUCAUACUUUACACUGAAACGCUGCCGACGUUAAUGACGGCGAGUUGUUUAAUGUGUUUUCUGUAUCCAGCCUCAGUUCAAUCAGGUUUGACUACAAAUAAAUAUUCACUGCAGAAAUUGAGAACUCAGUUAUCACCGUGUAGAGUUUAUGAGAAAGCUUGUCUGGAGCCCAGACCAAAUCACGGCAGUUAGACAAUAAGGACUCAAUAUAGAGAGGGAGCGAAAGUUUGAAUUAUGUUUAACAGAAGCAGAUGUCUUGUUCAAUCUCUUUCUGGUUUACACGCUGGGUCUCUCCAUUAAAAACGCCUGGCCUCUGGAUAUCUAUCUACUCACUGAUUUCCCACAGAGCUUGAAGUCAGUCACCAUUCGUCAAAGUGAGUUCAUUUUAGGUAAUUAUUGUUUUUUUUUUGACAAUCUAUUGUACUGCGCCCAUUGACUGUAUAAAUAAUGGACGUGGUAUCCGUGACGUCACCGAUCCGUUUCUGGAGCGUUGCUUUGAAGCCAAUUGACGGCAGGUGCCAUAUUGGAAAGCUGAGCUCAGCCUAACUUCUGUCGAGCUAGUGCAAGGUAAAGAGUCGUGCUUUGAGUCUCCUUGGAAAAUGGAAAACAACAACAAAGCCAAAUGAAUAACAUCUUCUCAGUAAAGCCUGCUUUUUAUUGUUGUUCACUUGAAGGAAAUACUUGACAAUCUAGAUAAAUCAAUACCGUUUGUUUUUUUUUUUUUGUCAACAGUAACCUUUUAAAUAACUGUGGCAGGGAGUCACUCAGGGAUAAAUAAUUGUGCAGUUUUAUUACCUUUAUCCUCUGUGCUUGCUUUGUUUACAUUUAAUUUUGGCAGGACAUUUAAGUUUAAGUCCCUCAGGAAAGACUGCAGAAGUGCAGAAUCACAGAAGUUCAAACUCACGAUUGAAAGUUCUUCCUCAGCGCACAGUGGAGCAGCUUUAAGCCCUCACACAUUCAGCAGGAGCGUGCCUCAAAGUCUGUGAGAGCGUGAGUGUGGAGGUUGGGCUCAUGCCACGGAUUCAUACACUCAAGCACUUCACUCCGGACGUCAUUUAGGUCAAUAUGGGUUUAGUGCUAAGGCCUCAGGGUGGAGAUUGGGACUGGGCCAAUGACAGGGGAGGAAGUUGUGGCCCUGAUAUCAGGUGUCCGGACUUCUUAAAAUUGAUGUACCUAGUUUUUAAGAAUUAUACAAAAUGUUGUUUUAGCUGAUGCAUUUUUAUUGCCUCUGGCUUGAAAUGUUGCACCCCAAAAAUAAAUAAUAUUAUUGUUGUCGUUUUUUUUUA